UCUCCUUGCUGCUGCCAUGUGAAGAAGGACGUGUUUGCUUCCUCUUCUGUCGUGAUUAUGGGCAAAUUCAAGUACAUGGCUGCUAAAUAUGUUCUCCAUGAUUUUCUUCAUGUAAGUAUUACAAAAAAGUAAAACAGGAUCUCAUUUUGCUGAAUAUUAGAUGGAUAGUUUUGGGCAAAUUAAUUGCUAUAUUGAUGCCUGUUUUUAUAUUUGUCAAACUGGCAUAAUAAUUGCCCAUAUGUUGUAAGAUUGCCAUGACAAUCAAAUGAGAUAAGAUAAAAACAUUUAUUAAUUGAUGUCAUUGGCAAUCAGCAUGUAGUAGCUGCCAGAACAAAUGGUAGUUAUUUUUAUAUUAUUACCAAUAUUGUUGUUAUCUGAAUAUUUUAGCAUGUUUUCUUGAAGAGUAGCAACCCUAAAAUAUUGAUAUGGAUAUAACAAACAUCAGAGAUGAUCAGUUAUGGGGUCAAGGGGAGGGAGAAAAUUAUGCUGGGUUUUUUUUUAGGGUAUGGUAAUAGAAUGUUAUAAAAUGAGAACAUUAUAUUUCCAAGCAUAGGAAUGUGUGGAAAAUUUUGUAAGAGGCUCACCCAUCAUGGUUAUCUCUCCCUUUCACUGUCUGUGAGUUAUUUUAUAACCCAGCAGGUCAUUAGAAGAUGAUAAUAAUACAAACAAUUUUUGUUCAUGGUGGGGUGGACAGAAUAUGCCAUCCCAAGAUGUGAAAGAUGGCUGAACUGAAAACAAUUAAGAAGACACAGAUAUAGGAAAGCUCUCUGUACUCCAUCUAUUUGCCUAAAAGCAGAGCAUAGAUUUACAAGGGCAACCCCCUCACUCACCCCACCUUAUACCAAGGAGAAAAAGGUUAAUCGCCAAAGACAGCUUUACAUCUUUAUCGGUCUGGAGAUGGUCCCAGAGGGAAUCUACAUUAAGAAGCUCUACUAACUAACAUUUUUCUGCCAGUUAUUUGCCUUCUUCCAAGUUGCAGUCCUUAAAGGCUCAAAGUCCUUUUCCUUCGGUUACUUCUCUGAAACUUUAUUGCUCUUUGUUGAAGAUGCUACAUUAGCUAGAUUUCAAGCCUCUUUGAGAACUACUGAUCCCGAGU
rnacentral:lncRNA from 10 species